CCAAAGGCUCUUUUCAGAGCCGCCUAGAGUUUCCGUGGGAGAGCUG
rfam:Myotis davidii contig72880, whole genome shotgun sequence.